rnacentral:rRNA from 1 species
UACGUAGGGUGCAAGCGUUGUCCGGAAUUAUUGGGCGUAAAGAGCUCGUAGGCGGUCUGUCGCGUCGGCUGUGAAAUCCCGAGGCUCAACCUCGGGUCUGCAGUCGAUACGGGCAAACUAGAGUAUUGCAGGGGAGACUGGAAUUCCUGGUGUAGCGGUGUAAUGCGCAGAUAUCAGGAGGAACACCGGUGGCGAAGGCGGGUCUCUGGGCAAUAACUGACGCUGAGGAGCGAAAGCGUGGGGAGCGAACAGG